GGUUCCAUGGUGUAAUGGUUAGCACCACGCUGAAUCCAGCGAUCCGAGUUCAAAUCUCGUUGGAACCU